rnacentral:lncRNA from 1 species
CAAAGGUGGCAUGCGGAGAGCUAAGAUGGGGAGUCCAAGUAGAAAAAUGGAGCACGCCUGAGGCUUACAUGGCCGGGUUUGAGGGGUUUUGACCCGAUGGAUUGAUGGGGUUAGAUCUAGAGGAUGCGCAUGCAUCUAUUCCCAUGUCGCCCUGUUUAUUUGGAAGGUGACAUGGAGGUGUCUGCCAAUCAGGAGCAUGCUGGCUAGAAGAGGAGUA